UACGUAGGCAGCAAGCGUUGUUCGGAGUUACUGGGCGUAAAGGGUGUGUAGGCGGUUGUUUAAGUUUGGUGUGAAAUCUCCCGGCUCAACUGGGAGGGUGCGCCGAAUACUGAAUGACUAGAGUGUGGGAGAGGUGAGUGGAAUUCCUGGUGUAGCGGUGAAAUGCGUAGAUAUCAGGGGGAACACCGGUGGUGUAGACGGCUCACUGGACCAUAACUGACGCUGAGACACGAAAGCGUGGGUAGCAAACAGG
rnacentral:rRNA from 1 species